rnacentral:rRNA from 1 species
UACGAAGGGGGCUAGCGUUAAUCGGAAUCACUGGGCGUAAAGCGCACGUAGGCGGCUUGUUAAGUCAGGGGUGAAAUCCUGGAGCUCAACUCCAGAACUGCCUUUGAUACUGGCGAGCUUGAGUUCGGGAGAGGUGAGUGGAACUGCGAGUGUAGAGGUGAAAUUCGUAGAUAUUCGCAAGAACACCAGUGGCGAAGGCGGCUCACUGGUCCGGUACUGACGCUGAGGUGCGAAAGCGUGGGGAGCAAACAGG